UGCAUAGCUAAAACAUAAACUCUUCACCUGCACAGGAAAGAUUUAAACUUUGAAGUGAUUCUUUGGUACAUGAUGCCUGUCAGGUUUCUUUUUGCACUGUGGUUACUGUGCUGUGCAUAACACCACAGUAUUUUCAAUGCUCUAGUGAUCAAAAAGAGAAGUACAAUACAGACACAAUGUAAGUAUUUUUUAUCAUGCAGGAAGAUGAAAAGACAUUCAAGUACCAUGAAAGAAAGCUUGGAAAACAGGCAAGUGCAGAGAACCUGGCAAAAGAUUACCAGUCUUUCAGGUUUGCCCUGCCUAUUUGAUUGAGUUUUCAGGAGGAAAUAUGAAGGAGGAGAAGCCAAAGAGCUAUGGGAAGAAGGGCACUGAAAUGCUUUUACAUCCAGCAGCAGGAUUGCAUUUGGCAGCACAAGCAUGCCUGUAAGCCAAGCUUCCUCUGAUUAAAUGUUUUUGGCCAAAUAUCAGAAUUGGUAAGUAUAUUGCAUAUUGAACUCCUUUUCAAAAGCAUAAUGAGAAAGAAGGGGGAAUACUGUUCAGUUUAGGAAAACCUAGAUAGCACUGUAUUUUGAAACCUAGUUACUGAAAAACGUGGGAAGUGGUGGCUGACAGUGACAGGGCCGCUUAACCAGGCUUUGCAAGAAAAAGUCCGCAAUACCACCAGGUGGCGCGUAAAGCCCAAAAUAACCCUAAACCUGCCCAAACCGCA